CUGAUUCCUGAUCGAGCGGUUUCGGGGUGAUGGAUAUCUGCAGCAUAGUCUUAGAGUUUGAUCCUGGCUCAGAUUGAACGCUGGCGGCAGGCUUAACACAUGCAAGUCGAGCGGGGAAAGGUAGCUUGCUACCUGACCUAGCGGCGGACGGGUGAGUAAUGCUUAGGAAUCUGCCUAUUAGUGGGGGACAACAUUCCGAAAGGAAUGCUAAUACCGCAUACGCCCUACGGGGGAAAGCAGGGGAUCUUCGGACCUUGCGCUAAUAGAUGAGCCUAAGUCAGAUUAGCUAGUUGGUGGGGUAAAGGCCUACCAAGGCGACGAUCUGUAGCGGGUCUGAGAGGAUGAUCCGCCACACUGGGACUGAGACACGGCCCAGACUCCUACGGGAGGCAGCAGUGGGGAAUAUUGGACAAUGGGCGAAAGCCUGAUCCAGCCAUGCCGCGUGUGUGAAGAAGGCCUUUUGGUUGUAAAGCACUUUAAGCGAGGAGGAGGCUACCGAGAUUAAUACUCUUGGAUAGUGGACGUUACUCGCAGAAUAAGCACCGGCUAACUCUGUGCCAGCAGCCGCGGUAAUACAGAGGGUGCGAGCGUUAAUCGGAUUUACUGGGCGUAAAGCGUGCGUAGGCGGCUUUUUAAGUCGGAUGUGAAAUCCCUGAGCUUAACUUAGGAAUUGCAUUCGAUACUGGGAAGCUAGAGUAUGGGAGAGGAUGGUAGAAUUCCAGGUGUAGCGGUGAAAUGCGUAGAGAUCUGGAGGAAUACCGAUGGCGAAGGCAGCCAUCUGGCCUAAUACUGACGCUGAGGUACGAAAGCAUGGGGAGCAAACAGGAUUAGAUACCCUGGUAGUCCAUGCCGUAAACGAUGUCUACUAGCCGUUGGGGCCUUUGAGGCUUUAGUGGC
rnacentral:rRNA from 1 species